rnacentral:rRNA from 1 species
AUUGAACGCUGGCGGCAUGCCUUACACAUGCAAGUCGAACGGCAGCACGGGAGCUUGCUCCUGGUGGCGAGUGCGAACGGGUGAGUAAUACAUCGGAACGUACCCAGUAGUGGGGGAUAACGCACCGAAAGGUGCGCUAAUACCGCAUACGACCUACGGGUGAAAGCGGGGGACCGUAAGGCCUCGCGCUAUUGGAGCGGCCGAUGUCUGAUUAGCUAGUUGGCGGGGUAAAAGCCCACCAAGGCGACGAUCAGUAGCUGGUCUGAGAGGACGAUCAGCCACACUGGGACUGAGACACGGCCCAGCCUCCUACGGGAGGCAGCAGUGGGGAAUUUUGGACAAUGGGGGCAACCCUGAUCCAGCAAUGCCGCGUGUGCGAAGAAGGCCUUCGGGUUGUAAAGCACUUUUGUCAGGGAAGAAUCUUUCAGGCUAAUACCCUUGGAAGGAUGACGGUACCAGAAGAAUAAGCACCGGCUAACUACGUGCCAGCCGCCGCAGUAA